GACCUGCACGAAUGGCGUAAUGAUGGCCAGGCUGUCUCCACCCGAGACUCAGUGAAAUUGAACUCGCUGUGAAGAUGCAGUGUACCCGCGGCAAGACGGAAAGACCCCGUGAACCUUUACUAUAGCUUGACACUGAACAUUGAGCCUUGAUGUGUAGGAUAGGUGGGAGGCUUUGAAGCGUGGACGCCAGUCUGCGUGGAGCCGACCUUGAAAUACCACCCUUUAAUGUUUGAUGUUCUAACGUGGACCCGUAAUCCGGGUUGCGGACAGUGUCUGGUGGGUAGUUUGACUGGGGCGGUCUCCUCCUAAAGAGUAACGGAGGAGCACGAAGGUUGGCUAAUCCUGGUCGGACAUCAGGAGGUUAGUGCAAUGGCAUAAGCCAGCUUGACUGCGAGCGUGACGGCGCGAGCAGGUGCGAAAGCAGGUCAUAGUGAUCCGGUGGUUCUGAAUGGAAGGGCCAUCGCUCAACGGAUAAAAGGUACUCCGGGGAUAACAGGCUGAUACCGCCCAAGAGUUCAUAUCGACGGCGGUGUUUGGCACCUCGAUGUCGGCUCAUCACAUCCUGGGGCUGAAGUAGGUCCCAAGGGUAUGGCUGUUCGCCAUUUAAAGUGGUACGCGAGCUGGGUUUAGAACGUCGUGAGACAGUUCGGUCCCUAUCUGCCGUGGGCGCUGGAGAACUGAGGGGGGCUGCUCCUAGUACGAGAGGACCGGAGUGGACGCAUCACUGGUGUUCGGGUUGUCAUGCCAAUGGCACUGCCCGGUAGCUAAAUGCGGAAGAGAUAAGUGCUGAAAGCAUCUAAGCACGAAACUUGCCCCGA
rnacentral:rRNA from 1 species